rnacentral:rRNA from 1 species
GAUGAACGCUGGCGGCGUGCUUAACACAUGCAAGUCGAGCGAACAGACGAGGAGCUUGCUCCUGUGACGUUAGCGGCGGACGGGUGAGUAAUACGUGGAUAACCUAUCUAUAAGACUGGGACAACUUCGGGAAUGCGGAGCUAAUACCGGAUAAUAUAUUGAACCGCAGGGAUCACUAGUGAAAGACGGUUUUGCUGUCACUUAUAGAUGGAUCCGUGUCGGAUUAGCUAGGUGGUAGGGUAACGGCUUACCAAGGCAACGAUGCGUAGCCGACCUGAGAGGGUGAUCGGCCACACUGGAACUGAGACACGGCCCAGACUCCUACGGGAGGCAGCAGUAGGGAAUUUUCGGCAAUGGGCGAAAGCCUGACGCAGCAACGCCGCGUGAGUGAUGAAGGCCUUCGGGUCGUAAAACUCUGUUAGUAGGGAAGAACAAAUGUGUAAGUAACUAUGCACGUCUUGACGGUACCUAAUCAGAAAGCAACGGCUAACUACGUG